ensembl:lncRNA
UGAACAUCCUGGCAUGAGGGCUGGUUCUGAACACAAUGGGGCCACCCAUCUCUGAUCCUACACGACGUCCCUUUGGGACACUGCAUGUCCUUGCAAGAAGGCUGCCUUGGGACCACCUUGGGUUGAACACAUUGAGGCCAUCCAUCCACCAUCUCACACACCAUCCCCUUGGAGCACCGAACGUCACUACAGGUGGGUCUCCUGAUGGAAGUCUUUAUCUGGACACACUGAGGCCAACCAUUCACCAUCAGACACUCCGUUCCCUUUUGGCAUUGGACAUCCUGGCAGGAGGGCUGGUUCUGCACACAAUGGGGCCAUCCAUCUGUCAUCCUACACGACGUCCCUUUGGGACACUGUAUGUCCUUGCAAGAAGGCUGCAUUGGGACCACCUUGGGUUGAACACAUUGAGGCCAACCAUCCACCAUCUCACACACUGAACCUUUGGAGCACCGAACAUCGCUACAGGUGGGUCUCCUGAUAGAGGUCUUGAUUUGGACACAAUGAGGCCAUCCAUCCACCAUCUGGCACACAGUUCCCUUCUGACAUUGGACGUCCUGGCAGGAGGGCUGGUUCUGCACACAGUGGGGCCACCCAUCUGUCAUCCUACACGAGGCCCCCUUGGGACACUGCAUGUCCUUGCAAGAAGGCUGCCUUUGGGCCACCUUGAGUUGAACACAUUGAGGCCAUCCAUCCACCAUCUGACACACUGAACCUUUGGAGCACCGAACGUCACUACAGGUGGGUCUCCUGAUGGAAGACUUUGUCUGGACACACUGAGGCCAACCAUUGACCAUCAGACACUCCGUUCCCUUCUGACAUUGGACAUCCUGGCAGGAGGGCUGGUUCUGCACACAGUGGGGCCAUCCAUCUCUUAUCCUACAUGAG